UACGGAGGGUGCAAACGUUGCUCGGAAUCAUUGGGCGUAAAGCGCACGUAGGCGGCUCGUUAAGUCGGGUGUGAAAGCCCUGGGCUCAACCCAGGAAGUGCAUUCGAAACUGGCGAGCUUGAAUAUGGAAGAGGGUCGCGGAAUUCCCGGUGUAGAGGUGAAAUUCGUAGAUAUCGAGAGGAACACCGGUGGCGAAGGCGGCCUUCUGGACAGUGACUGACGCUGAGACGGCGAAAGCGUGGGGAGCGAACCGG
rnacentral:rRNA from 1 species